CUACCAUGUAAUCCCCGGGAUAGGCUGGGGAGUAUCCACCUCCGGACCGUAAUCCGGAUUCACCAUGGUGA
rnacentral:ncRNA from 1 species